ACUCCUACGGGAGGCAGCAGUAGGGAAUAUUGCUCAAUGGGGGAAACCCUGAAGCAGCAACGCCGCGUGGAGGAUGAAGGUUUUAGGAUUGUAAACUCCUUUUGUAAGAGAAGAUUAUGACGGUAUCUUACGAAUAAGCACCGGCUAACUCCGUGCCAGCAGCCGCGGUAAUACGGAGGGUGCAAGCGUUACUCGGAAUCACUGGGCGUAAAGAGCGCGUAGGCGGGAAAGUAAGUCAGAUGUGAAAUCCUGUGGCUUAACUACAGAACUGCAUUUGAAACUACUUUUCUAGAGUAUGGGAGAGGUAGGUGGAAUUCUUGGUGUAGG
rnacentral:rRNA from 1 species